CUCAGGCACUGGAAAGAAAACUCCUGUGAAUGAACACUCAGUGAACACCAGGCCUAACUUUCUACUGAAAUCCAGGAGAGCCAUGACACAAAUCUGACAAGAAAAAAUCUGAGAAGUAUCUUGUUAACAUCAGGACCCUAAUGAUGGCAACAUUCUUUGAAAUCUUUGAUAAAGUCACAGAGCUAUGGAGCUAGAAGGGACCUUGAAGGGAAUGUUUAGAAAUGACAAAAUUGAGCGCACAUGAG
rnacentral:lncRNA from 1 species